rnacentral:rRNA from 1 species
UGGUCCUGGCAUAGAUGAAGAACCCAGCGAAAUGCGAAACGUAGUGUCAAUUGCAGAAAUCAGUGAUUCAUCGACUCUUUGAGCGCACAUUGCCCCCUUUGGUAUUCCUAAGGGCAUGGCUGUUCGAGCCUCAUUUGCACCCUCACGCUUUGCGUGGUGUUGGGGGUCUUGUCUCUCACUAGACUCGCCAUAAAAUCAUUCGCAGCCGGCCUACUGCUUUCGGAACGCAGCACAAAUCUUGCACUUUGAAACAGCCUUGGAUGAGCAUCCAACAAGACCGUAUUUUUCAACUUUUAACCUCGGAUCAGGUAGG